GCGCAGCAGUCGCGAAACUUCCACAAUGGGGGAAACCCUGAUGGAGCGACGCCGCGUGCGGGAUGAAGGCCCUAUGGGUUGUAAACCGCUGUUCAGCGGAAAGAACAUCCUCCGGCUGAAUAGGUCGGAGGCCUGACGUUACCACUGCAGAAAGUCCCGGCCAACUCCGUGCCAGCAGCCGCGGUAAUACGGGGGGGACGAGCGUUGUCCGGAAUCAUUGGGCGUAAAGGGCGCGUAGGCGGCGGGAA
rnacentral:rRNA from 1 species